AUUAAACGCUGGCGGCAGGCCUAACACAUGCAAGUCGAGCGGAUGAAGGGAGCUUGCUCCUGGAUUCAGCGGCGGACGGGUGAGUAAUGCCUAGGAAUCUGCCUGGUAGUGGGGGAUAACGUCCGGAAACGGGCGCUAAUACCGCAUACGUCCUGAGGGAGAAAGUGGGGGAUCUUCGGACCUCACGCUAUCAGAUGAGCCUAGGUCGGAUUAGCUAGUUGGUGGGGUAAAGGCCUACCAAGGCGACGAUCCGUAACUGGUCUGAGAGGAUGAUCAGUCACACUGGAACUGAGACACGGUCCAGACUCCCACGGGAGGCAGCAGUGGGGAAUAUUGGACAAUGGGCGAAAGCCUGAUCCAGCCAUGCCGCGUGUGUGAAGAAGGUCUUCGGAUUGUAAAGCACUUUAAGUUGGGAGGAAGGGCAGUAAGUUAAUACCUUGCUGUUUUGACGUUACCAACAGAAUAAGCACCGGCUAACUUCGUG
rnacentral:rRNA from 1 species